CUGCGCUAGUUUGCUCCUUCGUAUCUCUUUCUUUCUGCAGCGAGUUCUUCAGCUUCUUUUGCCCUUACGGCAUCAAAGUGUAUGUUUCUACUUUUUCUCUCCGUAGCUAUUUUAUUUCUGGUAUAUUACUUACCAUUUGCGCCAAAAUCCUUAUCCUUUUUCGACUAUUUUAAGUGGUAACAACUAAUUUUAGUUAAUAUGUGUUCUUAUUUGUCACACAUAUAUAUAAACACACAUUUAUAAGUUAAUAUAUUCUUACUUGUUGUUUUUAGUUGUUAUAAUCAAGAUUCUGUUUGUAGAUGUUU
rnacentral:lncRNA from 1 species